rnacentral:rRNA from 1 species
GACGAACGCUAGCGGCGGGCUUAAUACAUGCAAGUCGGGGGGGCAGCAAUGUCACCGGCGGACGGGUGCGUAACACGUAUGUAACCUACCCUUUACCGGAGGAUACACUGGAGAAAUUCAGGAUAAGACUCCGUAUGCUCACGGUGAGGCAUCUCACAGGGAGGAAAGGAGACAGUAAAGGAUGGGCAUGCGUCUGAUUAGCUAGUUGGUGAGGUAACGGCUCACCAAGGCGACGAUCAGUAGCUGGUCUGAGAGGAUGAUCAGCCACACUGGCACUGAGACACGGGCCAGACUCCUACGGGAGGCAGCAGUAAGGAAUAUUGGACAAUGGGCGAAAGCCUGAUCCAGCCAUGCCGCGUGAGUGAAGAAGGCCU